GACGAACGCUGGCGGCGUGCUUAACACAUGCAAGUCGAACGGAAAGGCCCUGCUUUUGUGGGGUUCUCGAGUGGCGAACGGGUGAGUAACACGUGAGUAACCUGCCCUUGACUUUGUGAUAACUUCAGGAAACUGGGGCUAAUACCGGAUAGGAGCUCCUGCUGCACGGUGGUGGUUGGAAAGUUUCGGCGGUUGGGGAUGGUCUCGCGGCUUAUCAGCUUGUUGGUGGGGUAGUGGCUUACCAAGGCGUUGACGGGUAGCCGGCCUGAGAGGGUGACCGGCCACAUGGGGACUGAGAUACGGCCCAGACUCAUACGGGAGGCAGCAGUGGGGAAUAUUGCACAAUGGGCGGGAGCCAGAGGCAGCAACGCCGCGUGCGGGAUGACGGCCUUCGAGUUGUAAACAGCUUUCGCCUGUGACGAAGCGGGAGUGACGGUAAUGAGUAAAGAAGCACCGGCUAACUACGUG
rnacentral:rRNA from 1 species